rnacentral:rRNA from 1 species
CACGAACCGUACGAACGUUAUUCGGAAUUACUGGGCUUAAAGGGUGCGUAGGCGGCCCGGAAAGUUGGGUGUGAAAGCCCUCGGCUCAACCGAGGAAUUGCGCCCAAAACUACCGGGCUCGAGGAAGACAGAGGUGAGUGGAACUUAGGGUGGAGCGGUGAAAUGCGUUGAUAUCCUAAGGAACACCAGUGGCGAAAGCGACUCACUGGGUCUUUUCUGACGCUGAGGCACGAAAGCUAGGGGAG